CCCAGCGCUACCUGGGGCACGUCGUCGCCCCGGCCGCCGACGUCACGGCGUAACGUCCCGCGCGGGCGUCUCUGGGAAGGCGCGGGAGGGGAGGGGCGAGGAGCGGUACCGCCGGCGCCUUUUAAAAAGCCCGCUGGAGCCCCCUGGUGGCCACUGGCCGUCAUAGGCCUCUCUGCGCAAACAAGGCCGGAGGCUUCGGGAAGCCCGCAGGGCUGCGGCCGCGUUUGUCUUCCUUCUCGCCUCGCUGCGCAGGGUUCCCCCGCAGAAGCUGUUGGCGGGAAAGCAGCCGCUUCCUCACAGGCCUGCCUCAAAUGUAGACGUUAUCUGAGGCAUGGCGUCGAAGCGACGGUGUCCAUUUGGGGAGGCGUUCUGAAGCAGCCUGGGCCUCGCCAGGAAAGGACGGGCAGAGCGGGCGGCUCGGCGGCCGGGCGGGCCAGGCCGCGCGCGGGCCGCGCCCACACCCACUCCCGCGCGCGCGAGGAGACGAGACAGUUGUCACUUAUGACUCCUUGCUAAGGCGUAUACAUGCACACUCCUUCUGCUGAGGACUGCUCUCCACCCCAGGAGGCCUGUUGAAUAGAUGCAGGAUUCCAACUGGACCGCUCCCAGGCAGCCACAUCCAGUGCCUCGAAGCACUCAAGCAUCCUUCACCCCAGCACCGUCUUUGCAGCAGGCUGACCCCAAAGCAGCAGCAACCGCCGCCAGAGCUACUAACUGGAGAGCCGUCGUCUCUCCCUCCAGACUUUCUGGACAGGAAUUGGAGCCCAGACCACGGGCACCAUGGGCCUCCCAGACUGAGUCGGCCACCAGUUUGCACAACUUCAGGGAACCCAUUCCAAAGUCCUCUAAGCUUGGGUGAGAAAGUAAAAUCCCUCUCCCAAAGGUAGGUGAUGGGGUCUCAGAGCACGACAAAAAUGCUUUCCAAAUAAAUGUAUUUGAUCACCUUC